CGGGAGCNCGGAGCUUGCUCUGGUGGCGAGUGGCGAACAGGUGAGUAAUAUAUCGGAACGUACCCUGGAGUGGGGGAUAACGUACCGAAAGUUACGCUAAUACCGCAUACGAUCUAAGGAUGAAAGUGGGNGAUCGCAAGACCUCAUGCUCGUGGAGCGGCCGAUAUCUGAUUAGCUAGUUGGUAGGGUAAAAGCCUACCAAGGCAUCGAUCAGUAGCUGGUCUGAGAGGACGACCAGCCACACUGGAACUGAGACACGGUCCAGACUCCUACGGGAGGCAGCAGUGGGGAAUUUUGGACAAUGGGCGAAAGCCUGAUCCAGCAAUGCCGCUUGAGUG
rnacentral:rRNA from 1 species